UAGUGUCUUAAGUCUUGUCGAAACUGUAAAUGGACGAACCUACUCUCAGAAUCGUCAUUCCAGUCUCAGCUUUCAGGCCUAACGCUUUGCUCUUUUCGUUCUUAAAGACUUGAGUAUUCGUCUGAGUGUUUUUCGACGGUGCUUGCAUAACUAAAAAGAAUGCAAAUCCCGUACUUCAACAUGUUCUGGUUUAACGUUGCACUCUGGACAAUCCUUCUCCUGUUUUAUAUAGCUUAUUCUACAGCUUGGGUCGUCGAUCAAUGCAUCAUCUGCUGUAGAAGGAAGAAAAAGCAUCAGAAGUGUUCCCAUUCUAUAGAAAUGACAAGUGUCCAGGAUACUCUCUCGGACGACCGUCCUCAGACCUAAGCAGAGGUUUGUCCACGCCACUCGACAGGCUGCUCUACCAUCGAUGCAGGAUGUCAAGGCCUUCCUCAAGACGGGCAGAUGCACUCGGCGUCUUCAACUUGCUGAAGACAUAACUGGCGCUGCUUCAGGUUCUAGAUGAUGAGACUGCAACUCUAGACUUCAGAGAAUGAGAAAAUGGGACUUCCGGCAGAAGAAUCGCCAACAGAUUUUAAACUGAGGAAGCAUUUGGAAAAGUAGACCAGGAACUUCAUGAUAUGAUGGUAAUUGAUGCGGCGGUAGUUUACUGUUGACUAGACGAAGAGUAAGACCAUUGCAAGAUUAUAGGUUCUUACAGUGGUUUGACUAGAUACGGUCAAUUGCUGAUGCUGUGAUUAUCCGAGAAAACUAAAGCCCAAGAAGGUAUCUAUCGAAAUUCUGUUAGCGUUUCCUUCCAGAAGUUCGUUUAUGGUCACUCAUUCAGAAUUAAGCAGAAAAUAUGAAUAGUGAGAAUGGUGGCUCCAUAAGUGAGCCAAAAUUAAAGUGAAAACUUCAAAAGUGAGUCCCCCUAAUUUAAAUGUAAAUUCAGGGACGGUAAGAGUUAUGCCAUAGUCAAUGGAAGUUGUAAGGUAGACGGCAGCAAAGUUAUAUUGGCUCGCAGUCACAGGUUACUCUGCUUCAGUUCAAGUCCAUUUGUCUACUUGUAUAUCCAUCAUUAAGGGCAAUACUGCUUAAGAGUAUACACGGGAGUGGGUGUUAAGCAGCAAAAUGAUUUUGACAACCUGGGCAUUUUUCUGACUGAACCUCAUCGGUAAAUUUACUUUUUUAUUUUUCUUGAGCAGACUUGGUUCCUAGCUGAACUGAAAUAUGCCUAGACAAGAAUUUAUUUAAUUGUAUGCUUUUAAAUUACUGGACUGGACUGCAAAUUGUAGGUGUUAGAUGACUAGACUUCGCCAAGUUUAAAAGUCAAUAUUUUUAGAUUGAGAUUAUUAGCAUUAUGCAUAUAUUACAGAAUCUGGAGUUUUGUAAUAUUAAUGUGAUUUCCAAAUCCUCGUGUAGGACAUAAUUUACUGUAACAGGUUUAUGACAUAAUAAUAAUAACACCAUAUUGGA